rnacentral:tRNA from 1 species
GGGGAUAUGGCUUAGUGGUAGAGUGUUCCCUUCGCAUCGACAUUGGGAGCGACCCGGGUUCGAUUCCCGGUAUCUCCA